AUUGAACGCUGGCGGCAUGCCUUACACAUGCAAGUCGAACGGUAACAGGUCUUCGGAUGCCGACGAGUGGCGAACGGGUGAGUAAUACAUCGGAACGUGCCCGAGAGUGGGGGAUAACGAGGCGAAAGCUUUGCUAAUACCGCAUACGAUAUCAGGAUGAAAGCAGGGGACCGCAAGGCCUUGCGCUCACGGAGCGGCCGAUGGCAGAUUAGGGAGUUGGGGGGAUAAAAGCUUACCAAGCCGACGAUCUGUAGCUGGUCUGAGAGGACGACCAGCAGCACUGGGAGUGGGACAAGGCAAAGGCUCCUACGGGAGGCAGGGGGGGGUAAUUUUGGACAAUGGGCGCAAGCCUGAUCCAGCCAUGCCGGGUGCAGGAUGAAGGCCUUCGGGUGGUAAACUGCUUUUGUACGGAACGAAAAGACUCUGGUUAAUACCUGGGGUCCAUGACGGUACCGUAAGAAUAAGCACCGGCUAACUACGUGCCAGCAGCCGCCGUAACAC
rnacentral:rRNA from 1 species